rnacentral:rRNA from 1 species
GAUGAACGCUGGCGGCGUGCCUAAUACAUGCAAGUCGAGCGAACAGACGAGGAGCUUGCUCCUCUGACGUUAGCGGCGGACGGGUGAGUAACACGUGGAUAACCCACCUAUAAGACUGGGAUAACUUCGGGAAACCGGCGCUAAUACCGGAUAAUAUAUUGAACCGCAUGGUUCAAUAGUGAAAGACGGUUUUGCUGUCACUUAUAGAUGGAUCCGCGCCGCAUUAGCUAGUUGGUAAGGUAACGGCUUACCAAGGCAACGAUGCGUAGCCGACCUGAGAGGGUGAUCGGCCACACUGGAACUUAGACACGGUCCAGACUCCUACGGGAGGCAGCAGUAGGGAAUCUUCCGCAAUGGGCGAAAGCCUGACGGAGCAACGCCGCGUGAGUGAUGAAGGUCUUCGGAUCGUAAAACUCUGUUAUUAGGGAAGAACAAAUGUGUAAGUAACUAUGCACGUCUUGACGGUACCUAAUCAGAAAGCCACGGCUAACUACGUG